GACGAACGCUGGCGGCGUGCUUAACACAUGCAAGUCGUACGGUAAGGCCCUUUCGGGGGUACACGAGUGGCGAACGGGUGAGUAACACGUGAGUAACCUGCCCACAACUUUGGGAUAACGCUAGGAAACUGGUGCUAAUACUGGAUAUGUGCUCCUGCUGCCUGGUGGGGGUUGGAGAGCUCCGGCGGUUGUGGAUGGACUCGCGGCCUAUCAGCUUGUUGGUGGGGUAGUGGCCUACCAAGGCGGCGACGGGUAGCCGGCCUGAGAGGGUGACCGGCCACAGUGAGACUGAGAUACGGCCCAGACUCCUACGGGAGGCAGCAGUGGGGAAUAUUGCAAAAGGGGCGCGAGCCUGAUGCAGCACCGCCGCGGGCGGGAGGACGGCCUUCGGGUUGUAAUCCGCAUUCAGCAGGGACGAAGCUUUUUGUGACGGUACCUGCAGAAGAAGCACCGGCUAACUACGUG
rnacentral:rRNA from 1 species